rnacentral:misc_RNA from 1 species
UGGCUCUCGCAACGAUGAAGAACGCAGCGAAAUGCGAUACGUAAUGUGAAUUGCAGAAUCCAGUGAAUCAUCGAAUCUUUGAACGCACAUUGCGCCCUUGGGUAUUCCUGGGGGCAUGCCUGUUUGAGAACCUUGACGUAACUCACCACCUCGUGCACAUCUGGGUUCAAUCAACCCGGCCGCGCACUGAGGGCGGUGGAUUUGGGCUUUUAACUUUUCUGCCAAGGAGAAGUCGCCCUAAAUGAAGAGUCGUUUUGCUCUCGGCGAGCGCAAAGCCCGAUCUGAAGACUGAGAUUAAUAACCCCAAACUGGUUUUUUUCAUUUGACGUCGAUAAAGAUUUGCGGUGCAGCCUUGCAGAUGAAUUGAGGGCCGUCAACCUUUUAUUAGCCAGGUUCAUUGUUUUUUUCUUUGCGAAAACGACAUUGCUCCUGAACAUCUGGUCUCAAAUCAGACAAGAUUACCCGCUGA